GACGAACCGUGCGAACGUUGUUCGGAAUCACUGGGCUUAAAGGGCGCGUAGGCGGGCUGUCAAGUCCGGGGGUGAAAUCUUUCGGCUCAACCGGGAAAGUGCCUUGGAUACUGAUGGUCUGGAGGGAAGGUAGGGGUAUGUGGAACUUCCGGUGGAGCGGUGAAAUGCGAUUGAUAUCGGAAGGAAACGCCGGUGCGAAAGCGACGUACUGGACCUCUUCUGACGCUGAGGCGCGAAAAGCUAGGGG
rnacentral:rRNA from 1 species